rnacentral:misc_RNA from 1 species
GAUGAAGAACGCAGCGAAAUGCGAUAAGUAGUGUGAAUUGCAGAAUUCAGUGAAUCAUCGAAUCUUUGAACGCACAUUGCGCCCUUUGGUAUUCCAAAGGGCAUGCCUGUUCGAGCGUCAUUUGUACCCUCAAGCUUUGCUUGGUGUUGGGCGUCUUAUCUCUAGCUUUGCUGGAGACUCGCCUUAAAGUAAUUGGCAGCCGGCCUACUGGUUUCGGAGCGCAGCACAAGUCGCACUCUCUAUCAGCAAAGGUCUAGCAUCCAUUAAGCCUUUUUUUCAACUUUUGACCUCGGAUCAGGUAGGGAUACCCGCUGAACUUAAGCAUAUCAAUAAGCGGAGGA